CAGCAGCCGCGGGAAUACGAAGGGGGCUAGCGUUGCUCGGAAUUACUGGGCGUAAAGGGCGCGUAGGCGGACAGUUCAGUCGGGGGUGAAAGCCCGGGGCUCAACCUCGGAAUUGCCUUCGAUACUGGCUGUCUUGAGUAUGAGAGAGGUGUGUGGAACUCCGAGUGUAGAGGUGAAAUUCGUAGAUAUUCGGAAGAACACCAGUGGCGAAGGCGACACACUGGCUCAUUACUGACGCUGAGGCGCGAAAGCGUGGGGAGCAAACAGGAUUAGAUCCCCAGUAGUCCCUGUCUCUUAUACA
rnacentral:rRNA from 1 species